rnacentral:rRNA from 1 species
GACGAACGCUGGCGGCGUGGAUUAGGCAUGCAAGUCGAACGGUAUCAUCCUUUCGGGGGUGAGAGAGUGGCGAACUGGUGAGUAACACGUAGGUUAUCUACCCUCAAGACGGGGACAACCCAGGGAAACUUGGGCUAAUACCGGAUGUGAGCAACUUUUAGUUGUUUGAAAGGUGGCGUAAGCUGUCGCUUGGGGAUGAGCCUGCGUCCUAUUAGUUAGUUGGUGAGGUAACGGCUCACCUAGGCAAUGAUAGGUAGGCGGCCUUAACGGGUGGUCGCCCACACUGGGAUUGAGAUACGGCCCAGACUCCUACGGGAGGCAGCAGUCGAGAAUAGUCUACAAUGGUCGGAAGACUGAUAGUGCGACGCCGCGUGAACGAUGAAUCCCUUCGGGGUGUAAAGUUCUUUUAUACGUGAGCAGUGCUUCUUAUAUUAACAGUAUGGGGAGAGAGAUAUUAGCAUAUGAAUAAGCAACGGCUAACUCCGUGCCAGCAGCCGCAGU